UUUAUUAUUUGAAGGAACAUGUAAUAACUGGACUAUUUCUUUAACAUGGCAUAGCAAAAGCAUAAUAAAGAGCAAUGCAAAUAAUCUAGCAGUCGGCCCAUUUACACUCCUAUCUACUUCCAACAUCAGGAGUGAAAAAUAAAAUACAGCUUCCACCAAAAUGAAAAUGAAAAUAAUAAAAUGCACAAGGAGAACGGUGCUAUGAAACCAAACGACAUAAACGAUCGAGUUGGAGCAUUAUGAUGGCUAUGAAACAUUUUGUACUAUACUCGGCCAGUUCCUAGACUGCAAGCAAAAAAAAAAAA
rnacentral:misc_RNA from 1 species